rnacentral:rRNA from 1 species
CUGAGGAGCGAAAGCGUGGGGAGCGAACAGGAUUAGAUACCCUGGUAGUCCACGCCGUAAACGGUGGGUGCUAGGUGUAGGGGGUAUUCCACGCCCUCUGUGCCGCAGCUAACGCAUUAAGCACCCCGCCUGGGGAGUACGGCCGCAAGGCUAAAACUCAAAGGAAUUGACGGGGGCCCGCACAAGCGGCGGAGCAUGUGGCUUAAUUCGACGCAACGCGAAGAACCUUACCAAGGCUUGACAUGCAGGGAAAUCUCCCAGAGAUGGGAGGUCCGCAAGGGUCCUGCACAGGUGGUGCAUGGUUGUCGUCAGCUCGUGUCGUGAGAUGUUGGGUUAAGUCCCGCAACGAGCGCAACCCUUGAUCUUAGUUGCCAGCAUUUAGUUGGGCACUCUAAGGUGACUGCCGGUGACAAACCGGAGGAAGGUGGGGAUGACGUCAAAUCAUCAUGCCCCUUAUGACCUGGGCUACACACGUGCUACAAUGGAUGGUACAAAGGGCAGCAAAGCCGUAAGGUGGAGCCAAUCCCAUAAACCAUUCUCAGUUCG